CACGCCGUAAACGAUGAGUGCUAGGUGUCGGAGGUUCAUACCUUCGGUGCCGCAGCUAACGCAUUAAGCACUCCGCCUGGGGAGUACGGUCGCAAGACUGAAACUCAAAGGAAUUGACGGGGACCCGCACAAGCAGCGGAGCAUGUGGUUUAAUUCGAAGCAACGCGAAGAACCUUACCAGGACUUGACAUCCUCUGCAUUAGCCGUAAUGGGUAAAAUCCCUUCGGGGACAGAGAGACAGGUGG
rnacentral:rRNA from 1 species